rnacentral:rRNA from 1 species
AACGAACGCUGGCGGCAUGCCUAACACAUGCAAGUCGAACGAGACCUUCGGGUCUAGUGGCGCACGGGUGCGUAACGCGUGGGAACCUGCCCUUAGGUUCGGAAUAACUCCCCGAAAGGGGUGCUAAUACCGGAUAAUGUCUUCGGACCAAAGAUUUAUCGCCUUUGGAUGGGCCCGCGUUGGAUUAGCUAGUUGGUAGGGUAAAAGCCUACCAAGGCGACGAUCCAUAGCUGGUCUGAGAGGAUGAUCAGCCACACUGGGACUGAGACACGGCCCAGACUCCUACGGGAGGAAGCAGUGGGGAAUAUUGGACAAUGGGCGAAAGCCUGAUCCAGCAAUGCCGCGUGAGUGAUGAAGGCCUUAGGGUGGUAAAGCUCUUUUACCCGGGAUGAUAAUGACAGUACCGGGAGAAUAAGCUCCGGCUAACUCCGU